AUGGGGGCAGAUUUUCCCCCUUGGUAUUGUGACGCAAUAGUGAGUGAGUUCUCACAAGAUCUGGUUGGUUUAAAGUGUGUGGCACCACCUCGCUCUCUUUCAGUCCUGUUCCUGCCAUGUAAGAUGCCUGCUCCUGCUUUGCCUUCUGUCAUGAGUAAAAGUUUUCUGAGGCUUCCCCAGAAGCCGCCGUGCUUCCUGUACAGCCUGGGGAAUGACUUCUUGUAGUAGACAAAGUGAUGGCCCUCCAAAGAUGUCCACAUCCCAACUACUGGAAACUGCGACUAUGUCACAUUACACGACAAAAGGGACUUUUCAGGUGUGAAUAAUGUUAGAGACUUUGAAAUGGAGAUAUCUUGAAUUUUCUUGAUAGACCCAAUAUAACUGCAUGAAUCUUUACAAAUAGGAUACAGAAGAAGGGCGGGUCAGAGAGAUGCUAUGUAAGAAGAAUUUGAUCUGUUGUUCCAACCUUUAAAAACGAAGGAUAGGAACCACAGACCAACCAAAGCAGUAGCCCCUAGAAAGUGGAAACAGCCUUCAGUUUAUAGUAAGAAAAUGGGAACCUCAAUCCUAUAAUCUUGAAUUCUUCUAAUAAUCCAAAUAAGCAGGAAAUGAAAUCUCCCCUACAGUCUCUGUAUUAGUCUGUUCUCACGCUGCUAAUAAAGACAUACUGAGACUCAGUAAUUUAUAAAGGAAAGAGGUUUAAUUGACUCACAGCUCCACAUGGCUGGGGAGGCCUCACAAUCAUGGUAGAAGGCAAAGGAGAAGUGAGACCCAUCUUAGGUGGCAGCAGGAAAGACAGCUUGUGAGCUUGUGCAGGGGAACUCCCAUUUAUAAAACCAUCAGAUCUCAUGAGACUUAUUCACUACCACGAAAACAUUAUGGGGGAAACUACCUCCAUGAUUCAAUUAUCUCUACCUGGCCCAUAGAGAUUUUUACAAUUCAGGAGGAGAUUUGGGUGAGGACAUAGCCAAACCAUAUCAGCCUCCAAAAAGGAAUGUAGCCUGACAACAUCUUGGUUUCAGUCCUUUUGGUAUCUGAAUUAGAUUUCUGACAUACAGAAAUGUAAAAUAAAAUUUUGUGUUGCUUUAAGCCACUAAAUUUGUGGUGAUUUGUCACGGUAGGAAUAGAAAACUAAUACACUUCAUUUCUUGUGUGGCAAUCCCUUCUCUGAGUUCUUUGUUUCUGCUUCAUGAUACACUUUCAAAGCUGGUACUUCACUUAUGCUGGGGAGAUGUCAGCAGGGGUAAGUGGAAAACCGAACUUCCACCCUCACCUAUCAGCAAUAAGAUAGUGUGAGGCAGUUUUCUUCUUUUGCCAGGAUUGUGUCAGCAGAACUCAGUGAGGAGCUGAAUAUCUACUUGCCCCUGGACCUAUGCACUACAUCUAAACAUGAAGACUGUCUGUAAAAUAGGAUGCUGAGUCUUACAAAAUAAUGCCCAAAAUCAUCCAGGAUACAGUAAAACAACAAUUCAUUAUACCAUAAACGAGGGAAAUCUUAGCUGAAAUGAGAAAAGAUCAUCAAAACAGAGAUAAUGCAGAUGUUAGAAUUACCUGACAAGGAUUUUGAAGUAGCCAUCAUAAAAACACUUCAACAACUAAUUACAGACAUGCUUGAAACAAAUAAUAAAAAAAACAGAAAGCCUCAGGAAAAAAAAAAGAAGAUAUAAGAAAAAAACCAAAUGCAAAUUUUAGAAAUAAAAAAUACAAUAACUAAAAAUAUAAUAACUAAAAGUCUCAUUGAGUGGGCUCAAUAGCAGAAUAAAUAUGACAGAGGAAAGAAUUAGUCAGCUUUAAGAUAGAACAAAAAAACUGGCUAGCUACAGUGGCUCAUGCCUGUAAUCCCAACACUUUGGGAGGCCAAGGCGGGAGGAUCACUUAAAGCCAUGAGUUUGAGACCAGCCUGGGCAACAAAACAAGACCCUGUCUCUACAAAAAAAAAAAAUGUAAAAAUUAUCUGGGCACAGUGGCAUGCACCUGUAAUCCCAGCUCCUUGGAAAGCUGAAGUGGGAGGAUUGGUUGAGCCUAGGAGUUGAAAGCUGCAGUGAGCUAUGAUGAUGCCACUGUACUCCAGCUGGGGCAGCAGAGUGAGACUCCCAUCUCAAAAAAACAAAUACAUAAAAAGAACAAAAACAACCUGUCUAAUCUGAACAAUGAAAAAAUCAGGAAAAAUUGAACAGACUUUAAAGGAUUUGCAGGAAAAUAAUAAAAGAUCUAUUAUUCAUAUCAUCAGAGUCUCAAAAACAGAAGAUAAAGUGUGUGAAACUGAGAAAGUAUUCCUAAAAAUAGUGGCUUAAGGCGGAGCAAGAUGGCCGAAUAGGAACAGCUCCAGUCUCCAACUCCCAGCGCGAGCGACACAGAAGACCGGUGAUUUCUGCAUUUUCAACUGAGGUGCUAGGUUCAUCUCACUAGGGAGUACGGGACAAUGGUGCUAGUCAGCGGCAAAGCCGACCAGCAAAGAGCCUGGAAACCGGGGCAAGGGCAUGCGCCUCACCUGG
ensembl:lncRNA